AGAUUAAAUGUGGUUUCCCCUUGUACUUGAGGAAUGCCAGGUGCUCUUAUUGGUAACAGCUGUAAAGGUAUUGCUAGCUUGUCUUCAUCUAAGGAGAGCGUGGGGAAUUCUGCUGUGCUGAGUGAAAGUGUUGAAUGCUUUCUAUGAAGACAGACCAAUAUUAGGUCUUUUCCCUGAGGAACUCAUGCUAGCAGAAACAAAAUGUUUUAAAAUCCUUUAAAAAUAGUUUAUGGAAGUCAUUCUCUGAACUUGAAAAAAUGGCCGAGAUCUGAAAAUAACAGGAGGUUGGUUCAGCAGAAGGUAAGAAGAGAAGGAGGGAAGCCACAGAGGCAUUUUGAAAAGCUGCAAUAUCAGAUGCUAAGUGUUUGUAGUAGAAUCUACUGAACAGUUGGGUCAGAUGUGUUUUGAAGACUUUUCCCUUCAUGUGGAAAAGAAGAGCAGCUCCUUGGCCCAGUGAAAUAAACAGAGAACUAUAUAGACUUUUGUAAAUAUUUUAACGGCUUCCCACUCCUUGAGAAACCUUUCUGUAAGAAGUUUUCUGCAUCAGGUGGGGUUUUACUUGUUCUCUGUUUUUCUCUUCUGGAUCCUCACAUGACUUCAUUUUCACAGGGACUUACCAGGCAUUAUUUCCUCACUCCGCCAAACGAAGCUGAGUAAAGCAAAGAGCCUGUCAAAUGCUGCUGUAA